AAAACCAGGUUUAAAAAGGGACGGACGGCCAGCUAGGGCGGGAAAGAAGACGGAAGUCCGAAACCAGGGGGAGAGGUUUUAAACCCGGGUGUCUUAGCGUAAACGCAGGGGAGAAAGCCUGGAAACCAAACCAUUUUAGUACCAGGGGUAUAAAAAAAUCAACCGAGUUUCCGGAAGUAGCGGCGAGCGAACGCGGAGAAGUCCUAAAUUAGUUGAGGGAAGAAGGGUGUCUACACAUCUAAGACUAAAUAUUUACCCCCACCUAAAGGGAGAGUACUGUGAAGGAAAGCUGAAAGAGACUUAAAAAGACCUUAAAAUCCGUCCCCUUAAGCAGACAUUAUGUGUCGGACCUUUUGUAUAAUGGGUUGGCAAGGAAAAAUUUAGCAAACUUAAGUCCAGAAAUGAAGGUGUAGUGAAAACAAGGGAGGUGUUGCUUCUUGGAGUUAAAUUACCCGAAACCAAGUGACCUAGCCCCGGGCAGUUUAAAGGAGCAAACCGGUGACUGUAGAAAAAUUCUCGGAUGACUUGGGGCUAGUGGUGAAAUUCUAAUCAAACUUAGAGAUAGCUGGUUUUCUGCGAAAAUUAUUUAAGUAGUGCGCCCAAAAUAAAGAUUUUCUAUUGUAAAGUUCAACCGCUCGAGGAGGGGUUAACUCUGAAUGGGAAAAUGGGGAUGGGCAGCCGGACAGGGGGUGAUAAGGCCCCUUGUCAAAAGGGGAAAGCCCUAAUCAAAAGUUAAAGCCAAAAUCUAUAUUAAGUGUAAAAGGGAUGUAGAACUUAGACAAUAAGGAAGUAGGCUUGGGGCCAGCCAUCUUUGAAAGAUAACGUAAAAGUCCACUUAAGAAAUUCUUUUAUCUCUAAAAUUAGGGUGGCUAAAAUUGAGCUGAAACUUUGGGAAUGGGAAAACUUCCAUUCGGUAGCAGAACGUACUAUAAGGCCAUACGGCGGAAGCCUUUUAUCAGAAGUGAUAAUGCCAACAUGAGUAAAAAAUCGGGGGAUCACUUCCCCAGGGCCUCAAUUAUUAUUGGCCGGGCAGCCCCUAAGGUAGUAAUCUUUGGGUUACGUUAAUAGGGCUUAUAAAAAAGCACGAAGUGCCAGGAAAAUUUUUAUUUGUUUUACUGUACCAAUUUAACGCAAAUGGGGGAAAGUGAGGAGAUUUCUUCUUUUAAGGAACUCGGCAAGGGGGGCUUCGACUGUUUACCAAAAACCUAACCCCCUGCCAAAGCGCAGGCUAAAGUAUGGGGGGGGUGGCCUGCCCUAUGGCUGUAUCCGAAGGGGGGGGGCUAGGGCCAACCCCAUAAGGGCAGUUAAAUGGCCGCGGUAACUCUGACCGUGAUAAUGUAGCGUAAUCAAUAGUCAAUUAAUUGUUGGCCGGUAUGAAGGGCAUCACGAAAGCCCCACUGUCUUAAAAGGACUCUCCAUGAAAUUGAAUUCGUAGUGAAGAUGCUACGUACAUAUUGUAAGACGAAGAGACCCCAUAGAGCUUUACUUUAAAUUUGUGGGGCUUAAAAAAUUUAAAUGGGGAGUUUAGAUUAGGUGGGGCCGUUCUGGAAAAUGAAACACCACCCUUUUAUUGUAAAAAAAGCUAACCCGACAGGAGAAGGGCAAGUUGGAAAGUUUGGUUGGGGCGACCGCCUUUUAAAAAGUAACGGAGGUGAACUUAUGGCCCGUGGUUAAUAGCUUGUGGCCUGACUGCGAGGGGUACCCCCAAGCAGGCACCCCCGGUGGGCUAUAGGGACCCGUCUUCUUGGAGUGGAAAAGAAGGCGAUCAACUGAUAAAAGCUACCUUGGGGAUAACAGCGUUAUCCCGGCAGAGAUCUCUUCGACGCCGGGGUUUGCGACCUCGAUGUUGAAUUGCGGCACCCUGGGGUGCAGCCGCCCCCAAGGGUUGGCCUGUUCGUCCAUUAAGGCCGUACAUGAUUGGAGUUAGGACCGGACGUAGUCAGUUUGGUUUCUAUCUACACAUAUAGAAUAAACACCGAUAAAAUUAUCUUCUAGUACGAAAGGAUCGAAGAAUUAGCGAUUCUCUUAUUUUUACAGGGUACAAUCGAUUUAUUAGUCUCCCAGUAGGAGGUUAUAAUUAAUCACUGAUGGCUUCUCAAGUGUGAACAUUUCAUUGUGUUGUUUGAAAGCAAAUAAGUCUUAGCGGCCACUUGGG
rnacentral:rRNA from 1 species